AAAACCCAAUAAUACCAAAACCCCCAAGGCCCCCUUUUCGGUUUGAGAGAUAAAAUGGAUCAUCUUCUCUCUCUCUCUCUUCAAACUCUUCUAUUCACUCAAAAGGCCAAAACCCCAAACCGAUGUCUCUCUACCUGAUUCUCCCUCAACCGUGAAAUUCUCUCCUGUGUUUAUUCUCGUCGGCUUCCCAGCUCGUCGGAGCUGCGUCUUCCACCCAUGGCUUCUCUCUCCACUAUUCGCGGUGUUGUGGCUAUUAUUAUUCUGUUGCGCUGCCGUGCGUCGGCCUGCCGCUGCUCAAAUCUUGUUCUAUUACCUAAAUUCCUCAUCUUAUAAUUUUGAUUAGCACACUGAUGUUGGGUGAACACAAAGGAGGUCCAUCAAGUCAUCAUCUAUUAGUUCUGUAAAAGCUGCGAAGUAUUUAAGUAUGAAUAAUUCUAUCUCCAACAGACUGCUACACAUGCUGCCUUGUGGCAUCCUCCAUUUCUUAGUAAGUAUGGCAGGUUAUGAAAAGAUCAGAAUGACGAGGAUAGCACAAAAUAUAAUGAAUUGCUGAAUAUCAUGCUAUACAUAUACUGUAGUCAGACUUUGAAGAUACAAAUGAACAAGAGCUUCAACAGGAUGAUGGAAAUAAUGGCGGAUUAGAGUAGCAAGCAUGCAUGAUACAUCGAGAAGCAUGCGUACAUGGAUAAUGGAAUUGAAGAAUAAUGAAAGAAUGACCUUAAGAUUGAUUUAGGUUUAUUUAAGGAGAUGUAUAUAUUAUGAUUUUAUGAUUUAAUUUUCAGAUUAACUAUUUAUAUUUUGGAUGCAAUAGUAUGUUUUCGAUUGAGUAUACUCUUUGGCUCAUUUUUUCAAUGGUCGUUGAGUAUUUCUACUCAUUUAUAACAAUAAUAUCAUUUUAUUUCCUCUUCAA